rnacentral:rRNA from 1 species
CAGCCGCCACGGUAAUACGCAUGUCACGAGCGUUAUCCGGAUUUAUUGGGCGUAAGGCGCGUCUAGGUGGUUAUGUAAGUCUGAUGUGAAAAUGCAGGGCUCAACUCUGUAUUGCGUUGGAAACUGUAUAACUAGAGUACUGGAGAGGUAAGCGGAACUACAAGUGUAGAGGUGAAAUUCGUAGAUAUUUGUAGGAAUGCCGAUGGGGAAGCCAGCUUACUGGACAGAUACUGACGCUGAAGCGCGAAAGCGUGGGUAGCAAACAGGAUUAGAUACCCGUGUAGUCCCUGUCUCUUAUACC